AAAUAGAUAUAGAUUCAUCAGGAAAAAGCAUACAAAUAAACUAAGUAGCGUUAGUCGCGUACCCAAUCUCUGAUCAAAGUCAUGCUGAGAUACGCCAAAGAGGUUCAAUACGUGAAUGUCGAAGUCGAUUAAGGGGCCCAUCCAUGGAUGGCUCUUUAGAAUCUGACAAGCCGAAAAUCACCGAAUGAGUCGUCUUCGGGAGCGAAUAAGACUUGAAUCUAUCAAAACUGCCUUAGCCCAUUCUCUCGUAAUUUGACCAGCCAAGUGUAAAGACCUGUUUCGCACAUCGUGAAAAGUGCCAGGUGACACCUCAGAGUGAUAGCCAUUGUUGAGGUAGAGAAGGCAUUGUUCUUUAGUCAAGCCUAUUGUUCGGAAGAAAGUAGAUAGUUGUGCCAAGUAAAGUGAAUUGAAAAGGACUACGGCAAGCUUAGGAGAAUUAAUUACAACCUUCGUGACAUUAUUGGUUGACGGGUCAGACCGACGUGCGAGGAAUCCUUCGAACGAAGGCGUCACCCCUAGGUCGAAAGCCUAAGUGACUAGGCACAGUGAGACGCACGUGGAGGAUUAUCGUGCAACAACAUCACACGUCACCGGCGAACCGGUACAAUCGGUAAGAGCACGUGCAGAGGAGGCGCCGCCAUACGGUGAAUAGCGUAAGCUUAGUCCAACCCACUUGGUUACGCCGUCAACGCUACCCACUGCAGUAGAUCUCGAUCCCACCAACAGAGGGCUACCGCAAGACGACGUAAAGUUAAGGACAACGCUCGUCAGACCCUGAAUGACCGUCAAGUCGAUGCAUCAUUGGAGAUCUUGCAGCCACGUGGUGCGCUGCCGCAUGCCGGGUUCCUGUUGGGCAAGUAAUGAUUGAAAAACCAAAAACUAUGUACAAAACUAACCCUUAGCAAGUAAGACCAAAUUUUGUAAAGAAGCGCAUGAAGUGAAGUCAAGAGAGGAGGUGCAAUGAAGCAUAAUAAAACCAUUGCAAGAUGAGAUAGGAAAA